rfam:Equus caballus chromosome 1, whole genome shotgun sequence.
GUGACUGCCAGAUGGGUGCUCUCUACUAGUGCUGUGCAGAGGCUUUUGCUGAGGCUGUUGUGAGACUGUAGGGUUUCCCCCUAGACUACAGAGCCAG